CUUACACAUGCAAGUCGAACGGCAGCACGGGAGCAUCCUGGUGGCGAGUGGCGAACGGGUGAGUAAUAUAUCGGAACGUGCCCAGUCGUGGGGGAUAACGCAGCGAAAGCUGUGCUAAUACCGCAUACGAUCUACGGAUGAAAGCGGGGGAUCGCAAGACCUCGCGCGAUUGGAGCGGCCGAUAUCAGAUUAGCUAGUUGGUGGGGUAAAAGCCCACCAAGGCGACGAUCUGUAGCUGGUCUGAGAGGACGACCAGCCACACUGGAACUGAGACACGGUCCAGACUCCUACGGGAGGCAGCAGUGGGGAAUUUUGGACAAUGGGCGCAAGCCUGAUCCAGCAAUGCCGCGUGCAGGAUGAAGGCCUUCGGGUUGUAAACUGCUUUUGUACGGAGCGAAACGGCCUACCCUAAUACGGUGGGCUAAUGACGGUACCGUAAGAAUAAGCACCGGCUAACUACGUGCCAGCAGCCGCGGUAAUACGUAGGGUGCAAGCGUUAAUCGGAAUUACUGGGCGUAAAGCGUGCGCAGGCGGUUAUAUAAGACAGAUGUGAA
rnacentral:rRNA from 1 species